AAGUCUGGUGCCAGCAGCCGCGGUAAUUCCAGCUCCAAUAGCGUAUAUUAAAAUUGUUGCGGUUAGAACGCUCGUAGUUGGAUACCUGCCAUGAGUCCCCGGUCCUUCCCAGUGAAGCGUACACGGGAAACUCCUUGGCGCUAGUUCAGGGAAUUCUACUGUGAUUAAUUUCACGUAGAGUGACUUGAUCUUUUACUUUGAGGAAAUGAGAGUGUUUCAAGCAGGCGUUUGCCGUGGAUAUGAUAGCAUGGAAUAAUAGCACAGGAUCACGUUCCAAAGCUGUUGGUUUUUGGAGCGAGGUAACAAAAAUA
rnacentral:rRNA from 1 species